ensembl:lncRNA
AGAAACUGGAGAUACAAUGGUGAACCAGGCCCAUGGCUGCUUGAAUGAAUGGCUUUAACCAUCUAUUAAUAUAGCUGCUGUAGGAAGCAAGUGACAGUAACCACAGCUUUAGAAAAGAGGCCACAGCUCCACCCAGAAUUCUCGAGAGUUUUCCACACUUCUUGACAAUGAAUGUUCAGACUCAAAAGAAUACAUUGCGACUGGCACAGCAAGCAGCAUGAACAUCACAGUCGCCAGGGUCCCCUUGCUUCCCGAGUCCUCCAGCAGUGCCAGUGAGCCAUCCAGGGAAAACUACCGCUGUCUUCCACGGCAGUUUGCUGUGUGACCGUCCCAGCAGAGGGUGCGCAGAGCAGAAUUUGUUUUGGCCCAGGAGAUACAGAAACACAAGGGCCCUGUACGGAACAGUCCAGCGGUGCUUCCUGUGUGCCCUGCGCUAUUGUAUAAACCCUGCAGUCUCCUGGGAGGUGUUUGGAGUCUCCUGGAAUUGAAUUGCAUGCAGGAGAAGAAACUGUGCUUCCUGAGCAGGUGAGGAAAUGGGCUCAGCUGCUUCCUUCAGCUAUGGUCAAGCAGCUAGUGAGUCUCAGAGCUAGAAUUUGAGCCUGGGCAGGUGAGCCCAGGACCUAAGACACUGGCACCACCUUGUCCGGAUUGACAAAGAACAACUGAAGUCUGCUGCCUCCAAGUUGUGACCAAAGUCACCGCAAGAUUCCUGGAGCCUGGAACACGAUGCGACACAAGCAGAGGAAGCAGCGGCCCAAGCUCUGACGGGAACAUGCUUCUACACGCGAGCUCACGGAAGCCCACACAGCGCUCCCUCGGGCGCGCCUGCGUGGAAGGGACCACCCCACCUCCCCCUGCCCAGUUCCCAGCUGCCUGCUCGGGGUCGCCCCGCAGAAUCAGCCCACCAAUCCAUCAGCGGGCAGCAGGCUCCGAGCUGCUGGGGGCAUAAAUCAAAUGGCAAGGAGGAAAGGUUUAAAAAAAGUCUCUGGGCCUUUGAGGCCUCCCCGCUGAUGUAUUUGGACGUCUCGGGCCGUCUGUUCGCGGAGGCCACCCCAGCCCCUGGGCCCGGCCCAGCCCCCCAAGCACGUUCCUUCCAUCAGCGGCGGCUGCCCUUGGAGGCUUUUGAAGUGGGUCCUGCUGGUGUUUAUUCGCCUUCGUGAAGAGACCGAUUGCUCGCUUUUCUGACCACGAAGACAGCUACAAAACUCCUACUGAUGACAAAACAGACCCGUAGCAGGAACUCUAGACUUCUCUCCGGUUGGGAUUUAGUACCGCUGGGCUCCUUUCUGAUCCUCGCUAGGAACUAAGUCAUCAAGAUGUAUAGCCCCACCCCCACCCCCCUUCUUCUUUAGCUCGAGCAGGUAACUUUCCAGAAGAGGAGCUGGCUGCAGAAUCUUUUACACUUGGGGAGUCUGGAAUUUGGAUAUGUCUGAAGCAGAGGAUGCUUAUGUGACCAGACUCCAAUAAAAACCUGUGCUGCAUCUCUACUGAGCUUCUCUGCAAAACACCACCCCCCUCUUGUUACAGGUGGGGGAAUUAAACAUGUGGGGUGUGACCUCACUGGGAGAGG